rnacentral:rRNA from 1 species
CAAUGGGCGCAAGCCUGAUGGAGCAACACCGCGUGAGUGAAGAAGGGCUUCGGCUCGUAAAGCUCUGUUGUUGGAGAAGAACGUGCGUGAGAGUAACUGUUCACGCAGUGACGGUAUCCAACCAGAAAGUCACGGCUAACUACGUGCCAGCAGCCGCGGUAAUACGUAGAUGGCAAGCGUUAUCCGGAUUUAUUGGGCGUAAAGCGAGCGCAGGCGGUUACUUAGGUCUGAUGUGAAAGCCUUCGGCUUAACCGAAGAAGUGCAUCGGAAACCGGGCGACUUGAGUGCAGAAGGGGACAGUGGAACUCCAUGUGUAGCGGUGGAAUGCGUAGAUAUAUGGAAGAACACCAGUGGCGAAGGCGGCUGUCUGGUCUGCAACUGACGCUGAGGCUCGAAAGCAUGGGUAGCGAACAGGAUUAGAUACCCUGGUAGUCCAUGCCGUAAACGAUGAGUGCUAGGUGUUGGAGGGUUUCCGCCCUUCAGUGCCGGAGCUAACGCAUUAAGCACUCCGCCUGGGGAGUACGACCGCAAGGUUGAAACUCAAAGGAAUUGACGGGGGCCCGCACAAGCGGUGGAGCAUGUGGUUUAAUUCGAAGCUACGCGAAGAACCUUACCAGGUCUUGACAUCUUGCGCUAACUUUAGAGAUAAGGCGUUCCCUUCGGGGACGCAAUGACAGGUGGUGCAUGGUCGUCGUCAGCUCGUGUCGUGAGAUGUUGGGUUAAGUCCCGCAACGAGCGCAACCCUUGUUACUAGUUGCCAGCAUUAAGUUGGGCACUCUAGUGAGACUGCCGGUGACAAACCGGAGGAAGGUGGGGACGACGUCAGAUCAUCAUGCCCCUUAUGACCUGGGCUACACACGUGCUACAAUGGACGGUACAACGAGUUGCAAACUCGCGAGAGCAAGCUAAUCUCUUAAAGCCGUUCUCAGUUCGGACUGUAGGCUGCAACUCGCCUACACGAAGUCGGAAUCGCUAGUAAUCGCGGAUCAGCAUGCCGCGGUGAAUGCGUUCCCGGGCCU